UACAGAGGUGGCAAGCGUUGUUCGGAAUUACUGGGCGUAAAGGGCGCGUAGGCGGCUGCUCAAGUCAGGCGUGAAAGGCCUGGGCUCAACCCGGGAAUUGCGCUUGAGACUGGGCUGGCUUGAGUGCGGGAGAGGAUGGUGGAAUUCCCAGUGUAGAGGUGAAAUUCGUAGAUAUUGGGAAGAACACCGGUGGCGAAGGCGGCCAUCUGGACCGCAACUGACGCUGAGGCGCGAAAGCGUGGGGAGCAAACAGG
rnacentral:rRNA from 1 species